GAUGAACGCUGGCGGCGUGCCUAAUACAUGCAAGUCGAGCGAACAGACGAGGAGCUUGCUCCUCUGACGUUAGCGGCGGACGGGUGAGUAACACGUGGAUAACCUACCUAUAAGACUGGGAUAACUUCGGGAAACCGGAGCUAAUACCGGAUAAUAUAUUGAACCGCAUGGUUCAAUAGUGAAAGACGGUUUUGCUGUCACUUAUAGAUGGAUCCGCGCCGCAUUAGCUAGUUGGUAAGGUAACGGCUUACCAAGGCAACGAUGCGUAGCCGACCUGAGAGGGUGAUCGGCCACACUGGAACUGAGACACGGUCCAGACUCCCACGGGAGGCAGCAGUAGGGAAUCUUCCACAAUGGGCGAAAGCCUGACGGAGCAACGCCGCGUGAGUGAUGAAGGUCUUCGGAUCGUAAAACUCUGUUAUUAGGGAAGAACAAAUGUGUAAGUAACUAUGCACGUCUUGACGGUACCUAAUCAGAAAGCCACGGCUAACUACGUG
rnacentral:rRNA from 1 species